GCCCCCGUAGCGCAAUGGUAGCGCGUAAGACUGUAUGUGCACACAUUCAUUCUCCAUAUUAAAGCCCCUCAACUAACAAUUCAACAGUCUAGCUUCUUAAGCGAUCUUAAGGUUGCGAGUUCGAGCCUCGCCGGGGGCU
rnacentral:tRNA from 1 species